CUCUAUUUAGACUGUUUCCGUGGUUGCGAUGUUGUGUUUGCAUUUGUCUAACACUGGUUAGACAGGUAGUCGUAUCUACCACUUUUAACUUCCUGUAUUUUGACAUUGUCUGUCAUUACAUAUUUGUUGGCACUGAGCGUCGCUCAGUGCUUUUUUUU
rnacentral:other from 1 species